UGAAAACUGUGCAAUUGAAUUGAGUUAACC
rnacentral:piRNA from 1 species